GGCGGCGUGCUUAACACAUGCAAGUCAAGGGGGCCCAGCAAUGGGCAACCGGCGAACGGGUGCGUAACACGUGAGCAACCUACCGAAGUGUGGGGGAUAGCCGGCCUAACGGCCGAGUAAUACCGCAUACGAUUCCGAAGAGGCAUUUCUUUGGAAUGAAACCUACGGGACACUUCGAGGGGCUCGCGGCCUAUCAGCUAGUUGGUGAGGUAACGGCUCACCAAGGCAACGACGGGUAGCUGGUCUGAGGGGAUGGCCAGCCACAUUGGGACUGAGAAACGGCCCAGACUCCUACGGGAGGCAGCAGUGGGGAAUCUUGCGCAAUGGCCUAACGGCUGACGCAGCGACGCCGCGUGAGGGAUGAAGCUCUUCGGAGUGUAAACCUCUGUUGCCCGGGACGAACAGCUCGUUUAAACGAGCCUGACGGUACCGGGUGAGGAAGCACCGGCUAACUCCGUGCCAGCAGCCGCGGUAAUACGGGGGGUGCGA
rnacentral:rRNA from 1 species